UGUGAACAGAAGUGGUGUUCUUCCCCUGAGCUCUCAGGAUUGUUUGUACUUCUAAGAGUCCAUCUGUGUACCCCAUGGGAUUUGGGUUCAGAGAGCUAUGGGACUGGGUCACCUCUGGGCGCGGGAGAAACCUCAAGGGUUCUGUCCUAGCCUGUUCCUGGGUUUGUGUGUCCUGAGGGCUCCAGGCAGGUCCCUCAGAACAGAAGUGUUGGUCUUACCUCUGCUCUCAGGUGUGUCAGUGCUUCUGGCUUUCAGCUCUGGGUGCAGGCAAAGAUCAGUAGGAACCUCUCCCUGUCUGUUCCUCGGUUCCUGUGUCCAAAGGGCUUCAGGCAGGUUCAAAUCUUUUAUUUUCUAUGAAUUUAAAAAUACUUUAAAAAAAGACUUAUUUAUUCAUUAUAUAUAAGUACACUGUAACUGUCUUCAGACACACUAGAAGAGAGGGCAUCAGAUCUC
rnacentral:lncRNA from 1 species